AGCAACACUGUUUACGACGAUCCAAUUUAUCGUAAUCGAUUAGUUAACAUGUUGGUUAACCGUAUUCUUAAACACGGAAAAAAAAUCAUUGGCUUAUCAAAUUAUCUAUCGAGCCAUGAAAAAGAUUCAACAAAAGACAGAAACAAAUCCGUCCUGCAAUUUGUACUUGAAUUCCUUCUGUAUCUGCUUGUUCAGUUAAUUCAAUAGCUUUUUUCAUUGCUUUUCGAAAUGAAACUCUAUUCUUUAAUUGUCCGGCUAUAAAUUCUGCUUG
rnacentral:lncRNA from 1 species